rnacentral:tRNA from 1 species
AGGGAUUUAGCUUAGUGGCAUAAGCGCCUGCCUUGCAAGCAGGCAGUCGUGAGUGCAAGCAGGCAGUCCUGA